rnacentral:lncRNA from 1 species
AAUUGCAUCAUGCCCAUGGUCACAAAGCAGAUCAUUGAUGACUUGGUAUCUGGAUGUUGAUCUCCCUACUCUUUUAUCCUUACAUAUGUUGAAUUAUUGUCACCAAGUCACUUUACUGGUUCCUUAAUCUACACUGAUUUUAGAAAUCUUCAUCUGUAAUUCUUAAGAUAAUUUGCUAAGUAUUAUACAGUGUACACUGAAAAAGUGGACUUGGAAAUAAAAUUGCCCAAGCAAAAUUUUUUCUCUCAACUUGCCGAUAUGCAUUUUUGGGUAUGUUUUGCUGUUUUAAUUUAUUACAGGUUUUUUGUUUGUUUGUUUGUUUUCGGGGGGACUGAGUUUUGCUCUUGUUGACCAGGUUGGAGUGCAGUGGCACGAUCCCGGCUCACUGCAACCUCCAGCUCCCAGGUUCAAGUGAUUCUCCUGCUGCCUCCUGAGUAGCUGGGAUUACAGGCAUGCUCCACCAUGCCCAGCUAAUUUUUUGUAUUUUUAGUAGAGACUAAAAAUACAUUUAGUUUCAUCAUGUUGGCCAGGCUGGUCUCGAACUCCCGA